UUGAUGUGAUAGAUCCACGCACAAGAUCCACAUGCGUAGGACAAGUGUUGAGCUGUGCGCCUGACGUGCGUGUCUGGGCGCAGGAUCCGCGCGCAGACUGGGAGUUGCAUGGGCAUUCAGCUGAUGGGAUGUGCACCUGCAAGCAUGUCUAGUUGUCUUGGCGUGCGUGUGCCUCGGUGCAUGGCGCAUCCGCGUUUCCUCGAGG
rnacentral:lncRNA from 1 species